CCUACGGGAGGCAGCAGUGAGGAAUAUUGGUCAAUGGCCGCGAGGCUGAACCAGCCAAGUAGCGUGAGGGAUGACUGUCCUACGGGUUGUAAACUUCUUUUGUAAAGGAGUAAAGUGAGGCACGUGUGCGUUUUUGUGAGUACUUUAUGAAUAAGGAUCGGCUAACUCCGUGCCAGCAGCCGCGGUAAUACGGAGGAUCCGAGCGUUAUCCGGAUUUAUUGGGUUUAAAGGGGGCGUAGGCGGUUUGUUAAGUCAGUGGUAAAAUUGUGGGGCUCAACUGCAAAAUGCCAUUGAAACUGGCAGUCUUGAGUACACGUGAGGUAUGCGGAAUGCGUGGUGUAGCGGUGAAAUGCAUAGAUAUCACGAAGAACUCCGAUUGCGAAGGCAGCUUACUAAACUGCCACUGACAUUGAUGCUCGAAAGUGUGGGUAUCGAACAGGAUUAGAUACCCGGGUAGUC
rnacentral:rRNA from 1 species